UACCCCUGCGCAGCUUUUAAAAGCAAAUCCUUUGCCCACUUUUCUUAAAGUGCAGUCACACGGCUGCAACAAGUAACUCUCUCAAAACAUAUCAGAGAAAAUUUUGUUAGUGCUCUCAUUUACAAAUGUGUCUUGAUUUUUUUUUCAGGCUCUGGGUAUAAAUGUGCCAACAAAACAAAACAAAAACUACUAGGUAUACAAAAUUGUCUAUGGAGUACAAGCUACAUUAGAUGCAACCAGGAAAAAAAAAAGCCCAGAUGUUUAACCCGUGAUGAGGCUGAUGUGAACUGCGGUUUGAGCCCUACACUCCACCAAAGAAAAAAUUGGGAAUGAGAGGUGGAGAGGGAAUACAAGGAAGAAUUUGUCCAAACCCACAGAAUGCCACCAAGAAUGACCCUAAUGUCAGCUGUGGACUCCGAGUGACAACCGCGUGUCAGGGAAGAAGAAAGAAACUGGGCAUUAUCUCUGACAAAAAGUAAAACGGGUAUCAGGCUGAAUUCUCUUGCCGGGGAAAAGAAAGAAAUCACACCAACCCGAGCCUUUGGCUUCUGUCCGUGGUGCUGAAGUUUAUUCAUCUUUCAAACAGCUUUCAGUAACGGGUGAGCAGAAUCUAUCCUAAAAAUUUAAUGCAUGGGAUGGGAGAGGAGGGGAAACCACAAUUAAACCACUUGGUCUACAUUCAGCAUAAAAUGUGAGAAACAUUGACAAGAGGCUGCAGCUUGAAUAGGGUGCUCAUCAUGGCUCAACUUGAUGGCAACGAGAUGGGACCAAGUUGAGUGAGAGACCCCAAGGGAUGAUCUCUCGAAGUCUGUCCAGGGCCUCACCAGACUCUUCCUCGCUGGGCAUUAUCUUCGAUACUACAAAGAGAACAGAGACAAGGUUGGCUUGGUGACCCGGCCCUAUUGGAAAAGUCAACUUUCCAGGACUGUGCUCAUUUCCCAGCAGCCCCCACUCCAGACUGACAACCCUGAGUUUCAUGAACUGGUACACAAAUUGCUUGUUGGAAGCUAUAAGUCAACCCCAGUCAUUUUCAUUUAAUCCUUUGGGAUCUGACAUACCCAGGGUAGGACAUGAACUGCCAAUCAGCAGAACGAAGGUGACUUGGCUCCAUGAACAUUUCAAGUGCCCAGUGCUCAUGGCAGUAACUUUUUUUCCUUGGCAUUUCUGUAUCAGCCUUAGUAGCUGAGACUGAUGUCAUUGCCUCAACUUGGGGCAAAAAUUUCCAAAAAGUAAGCUUCUACUCUAGUCUCUUUACUGCGGGAGGCAUCCCCUGGUGGUGUUCUUUGACAAGGUUUGAGUCUCAGUGAAAUCAUAACCACCUUCCUCCCCACCCCAUUCCACCCCCAGCGCCUCUUACCCGGAAGCUGUUGCAGCCCAGUCCACUCUGAGCUCCAAUCCUGUCCAUCCUGCCUCCAAAGCAGCUGGACCUCCGCAGACUCCGAGGGGCAGCGAGCAGUGCCCUCAGCUUGCUUUUCAGGAGGGCAGAUCUAUCGGAGGAGUCCCAGGGGCCCCGCCCAAGGGCACCCCCAUCUCUCGGGGCCGGGUUGACCUCCCCAGUCCAGGGAGGCACCUCAGGGAGGGGGCUGAGGGCUGCCCCGGCUUCCUCGUUCUGCUCAUUUAGCACUUGUGGGGGCACGACUUCAUCUUCUAAAGGCAUCUUGUCCUCCAAAUGGUCCAGCAAAUUCUUUACAAAAGGAACACACAGGGAAAGGGAGAGGUCUCAAUGACCAGCACAGUGUCACAAAGCCCCCUGAUCCCAGACUGUGGCCCCCGUCCUGGCCCUACCUUGAAAUCCAUCAGGUCUGCAUUGGACACAGAGCCGUACACAGGGUUGGCUCCUGUUUGCGCCAACAGGUGAAACGCCAGGAAGAGGAGGAAGCUCAUGGUGAUGGUGGAGAAGGAGCCCAUGCUGGCGUCGGUCAAGCAGUGUUCUGGCGCUUGCUGCCUCUCUGUCCUCUCCUCUCCUUCUCUUAGACUCCCUCUGCUUCUGUUUCCCAACUGCCCUGUGCCUCCUCUUUUUAUAGCCCCCCAGCUCUCCAAGAGCACAAGAGAGACGGAACCCUCCCCAUUCUGUCACUUGCAGCGAUAAAGCAGCUGAAUGAGGAGCAGCAGAAGAUGUCCUUUUAAAGCUAUCAGCCCCACAGAGCCUGUCACUGCCCCUCCACCUUGAGCAGCCCCGACAACCCCAGACCCUCAGCUGCAAGAGCCACAUUCUUGUUGAUUUGCCUCAAGAGGUUUCCACUUCAAAGGUGUGAGAAGAGCAAAAAA